AAGGCGAAACCUGAAAAGCCUGUAAUAGAGUAGGGA
rnacentral:ncRNA from 1 species